UGGUAAAAUUAUGACUGGAAGCUAGGAGAUCCAAUAACUUAAAUUUACUGGUGUGAAGAAGCAGCUGGCAGCACUUAGAAAACGAUAUUUCCGAGUUGAAAGGCCUGGCAAGGGGCCAAAUAAUAUUUGUUAACAUGAAAACAGCAGUAUUAGCUCAUCUCUCCAAAACAAUGUAAAGGAUGACCGUGCGCUUAAUAGCUGAUGGCAGAGAUGGGAAAGUAUGCUUCUAGAUCCAGAUAUGAAAAUCAGACAAAAAGAACUUAAAAAAUGACAGAAAAAGAAAUUAGAGCUUUAUAAAAAUACAGUUGUUUUCACAGAUGGCUCAAAAACGGCCACUGACGAGGAAGCUCACUGGGCUUUUGAUUCUGAAACAGAGCAACAAGGUCAUAGCUUCAAAUGAGGGAGUAGUGCAAGGCACAGGACAGUACGCAGAGCUCAUGGCAGUGUUCCAGGCUUUGAAAACACUGAAAAACUUGGAUAUUUACAGGCCAUAAUAGUGACGGAUUGCUGUUGCAACAGGAAUUACUGACAAUUUGCAAAUCUGGAAUGACAACGGUUACACCAAGUCAAAAGGUAAGCAAAUUGAACACGCAACAUUUUGGCAAGAGAUACAAAAAAUAAUAAGUGAUUUUGAUGUUACAGUGAUACAUCAGCCAGGAUAUUCCUAGGCAGACAAAGGAAAUAAUGAAGUUGAUAAAUUAGCGUGCAUGAGACGAAUAGUAGUGAUUAAAUAAACAGAAGGAAACGUAAUACAGAAAAUACAUGACCAAAUUAUGCACCCAAGUGUAAAUUUAGUUUGCAAAGUUUUGACAGAUUAUAAAAUACAUAUUUCUAACUUGAGACAGAAAUAGAGAAACGUAAGAUUAAAUUGUGAACAGUGCAUGCAUAAAGGCUAUAAUAAAACAAUACGAAGUGAUUUUGGAGGUUUUAUACCAGACAGAGUUAACCAGGAAUAAUCUUUGGACAUCGCUGGACCUUUGAUCCCGAGGUCUAAAGAUGGUAAUAAAUAUCUAUUGAUGGUAGUAGAUGGCUUUACGGGACGAAUUUUGGGAAAGCCUUUAAAAGAGACAAAAGCAAAUGCAAUUAUUAAAGAUGUCAAUAAAUUACUGGUAGCUUGGGGCCGGCCAGAAAAUAAUUAGGUGUGACAACGGCACAGAUUUUAUAGGAAAACAGUUUGAAGACUUUGUAACUGAAAAACAUAUAAGUUUAAUUAAAGCUAUAAGAUAUUGCCCAGAGUCAAAGGCAAUAGCUGAGAGACAUAUAGGGAUUCUAAAAAGCUGGAAACGGGCCAAUUGUAAUCAUGAUAGAUGGGAUGAAUAUAUGGAAGAUUUAAUGUUUUAUAUUAAUCUUACAGAGAUCAAAAGUCAAAAGACCAGUCAGAAGACUCUUGCUGAGUAGGAGACCACGUCUGGAUCAGGAAUGAUGAAAUUACAAGACUUAGACGAGAGAGAGAAAUGGGCCAGGAAAAUACAACGCUGGCGACAAGCCUGUAUACCACAACCUUGUUUGACGGUAUUAUUAGUAUAACAGGGGUUGUGAUUUUAACUGGAAUUUGGCCAAUAAUUGAUUUCACUACAAAAUUGAUUGUGGUUGAGGAGAUUACUGUUAAAGAAGUUUCCCACUUUACUAUAGUGUAAUUUUUUUUUUCAGGAUCAUGUGAGCUAAAAACAUUGGAAGAAUGUAGCCAAUGUGAGAAAAAAAAAAAAAAAAAAAAAAAAAUAUAUAUAUAUAUAUAUAUAUAUACAGUGGGGAAAGAUACAUUAGUGAAAUGUAGAAUAAGGUCAAUCCCAUGUAACAUUACACGGAUAAAGAGAAUUUGGAUUUGGCACCGCCUGCAGCAUAUGCUCUAUAUUGGACCUAGAGAGACAUUAGGGUGUUACACGAGCAACACUGAGGACAGUGUUAAGCCAAAUAAAGAAACCCAGAUUACUGCAACUAAAUAAAAAGAUAGAGGUUCCCAAUGUGUAAAAUAUGGGUUGUAUGAUCCUAAAAGUGCAUUCCAAAGAAACUGUGAAAAAUAUUAUAAUGACAAUAAAUAUACAAUGUGUGAAACUACAAAAAAUUAUGGGAUCCAUUUGCAUGGAUAUAUUGGUUUAUAUAUUGACAUAGGUUAAUAUUAAUAUAUUAAUAUAUUAUUAUACAUUAAUAUUGGUUAGGUGAAACUACUGAAUGAAUUAGUGUAUAUUCAAAAGGAUUGAGAACUCUUGUGGGAAAAUGUGCUUAAUGAAAAUGGAACUGAAAGGGAUCAAAUGAUAAUACAAUUCAUUUGUAUUAUUUAUUAUUUAUUUAUUUGGUGAUACAGGAACUAAUAUUAGAGCAUUACUGUGAAAAGCAUUAAAGCCCAAAAAUUUAGAUGAAAAACAGAGAAUCUCAUGAUGGGAUGAGUAUAAAAGAUAAAAAUAAAAAUAUUAAAUAUAAAAAUACCGGGCUAAGCACUUACUAUCCUUUUCCUGUAGUUUGGAUGAGAUUUCAGGUAAAGGAUAGCAGAUUAUUUUGUUCUAUUUCUAAGGAAAUCCCAGAAUACCAUAAUGUUAUGACUAUAUCAGCACCUAAUCACAAAAUGUAAAUUAAUAUUAGUGGCAUGCUAGAUGUCAAAAAGGUUUUGACCAUUGACAGAAGCUUAUGGACUGUUUAUUACUUUACAGGAAGACAAGGCUUAUUUAAAUAUGCCUUUAGAUAGUUAUUUUAGAAGAUUGGACAUUAAUUAAGGAAUUAAUGGUAUGUUGGCUUAAGAAGUCUAUUCGUAUGAGCCCAUAUAUAUGGAUAAUAGAGAGAAUCAUGCUAAAGAAGAUAAAGGGAAAUGAAUGACUCUGUACCCAUUGUAUUGGACAGUAGCUAGACCACAAUAUAUUAAAUUACAUGCAGGAUACAGACAAUGGAUAAUUUAUACUGUAUGUUAUUUUACUAGUAGGAGCUUUCAUUGGGAUUUUGAUUUUGUGAGAACUAAAGGGCCUUGGAGGACUGAUAAGAAGUUUAUUAAAAAUCUGUUAUUCUACAGUCGUUAAUAUUAUCUUGCAGGUGGUUGGGCUUAGUAGGAGUAGAGAUAAAGAGGACAAACAAGUGCUCAUUGAAAGAGGGAUUCAUCGAAAGACCUUGACCGAACGUAGCACUCUUUUGGUGCAUAAGGUCUGAGACUUUACUUCUGAAAUACAUGGCAUUUCAACAGAGUGCCACGAAGGGUGAACAGUUGAGUGAUAUACCAAGGAUAACUCUAAGAAUGAUUCUACCAGCAUUGCUAUUUUGUUAGGAAACGGUGACAACCUUUUGGAAAUUCUGGUAAACAACUGUCUUUGUAUUACAGUGAAUAUGAUAUUAUAAAAAUAAUAAUAUAAAUUAAAAUAAAAAAGGGGGGUUACAUACAUAUGUUUUUAAGUUUUUAUUUUCUAUAUUUAUUAUUUUUGAACUUCAUUUAAGUGGGUUAUUGGUUCUGAAAAUGUAUGCAUGAUUCAUUAUGGAAACCUAAUAUGAUAGGUAAAUGAGUAAAUUAAGAACAAAUACAAAGGACCAAAAUUUGAUUAAAAAAGAAAAAAAAAAUUCUUUUAAGGCUCAAAUAGGAAUUAAGGAGAGCCCCAAGUGGAGAAUUAUUGACAAGAAAAUUUAAUUACUGGAUUGUUAUUGGGCAAGAUAAUUGUAUGAGAUGCCGUCAAUUUCUGACUGAUUUAAGAGUGAACUUUGUAAUGGGGGAUUUAUGCUAGGAAUGUUUCUACAAGAAUACAUUCAUUAUGUGGAUUAAUGACUAUGAUGAUGCAGAAUAUAAUGUUGAAUCUUAUGAAUUGAUGACUGGAGUGCAGAUAUACAUUUUGGAAAACAAAAUGAAAUAGUGAAAAUAAAAAUUAACUUACAAUCUUUUUAAACUUAAAGACUGGUACAGAUUGGAGAUCUGGGGAUUAGAUUCUUGUGCACUGCUUGCAUAAUAAAUGUACAGCUGAAGUUGUAAAAGUGGUCAAAAUUGAUGAACUGCUUUUUAUUAUAGGCAGAGAAAUUUAUGGAAUUCCUGGAGAAGGAGGAUUUAACUCUGACUCAGCCCGCCUUAACGCCCCAAGGUGCUAAGAAUCAAACAAGCGGCUCGCACACCAGAAGGUAUGCCUGGAAUGCCAGAUCCCCUCUCUUGGCUUCUGAAGAGGAUUUCAGAGAGAGGGGAAGAGCCGUGCGUUUCUGAGUGAGGAGGCAUAAUAAUGCCAACCACACGCCAAACCACCAGUCACCCGCACCUUGGACCCCCUUUCUUUUGGUCCGUUCCACAAUCCAUUGCUAAUGACAUCUGUACUUGGAUGAAAUAGUGCAGCAAAACAGCGCUCCUUGAAAUGCAGGCAAACCCAUCAGUUGACCACAAUGUUACUGGGCACCUGGGGUUGACAACACUAACACCAAACAGGACGCAAGGAACCUGGAAGUACUUUUUGAUGACCAACGUUUCCAUCCACAUUUCAACAACGUGUGGAUUCUCAUUUUAAUGAAUCAGCAAAUUCAGGCCCAUGCAGCACAGCUCCUCAUCCAAGCCCUUCAACACUGAACUACUGCAAUGAUCUGCUGGCAGGCCUUACAGCCUCUGCAAAUGACCCAAAACAUGGCAGCAAGUCAAUGUGAUUUUGUAUCAAAUGAUUAUAUUAAUCAUCACAUUCAAAUGUGAAAUGUUAAUUUUCCUCUUUAGAGCAUGAAGAAAACAUUAAAACUUAACAUUAUUACAAAG